AAAGCUCUUUUGUCAGGAACGAAACGCGCUGAAUUAAUACUUCGGCGUAAUGACGGUACCUGAAGAAUAAGCACCGGCUAACUACGUGCCAGCAGCCGCGGUAAUACGUAGGGUGCGAGCGUUAAUCGGAAUUACUGGGCGUAAAGCGUGCGCAGGCGGUUGUGCAAGACAGAUGUGAAAUCCCCGGGCUCAACCUGGGAAUUGCAUUUGUGACUGCACGGCUAGAGUGUGUCAGAGGGAGGUAGAAUUCCACGUGUAGCAGUGAAAUGCGUAGAUAUGUGGAGGAAUACCGAUGGCGAAGGCAGCCUCCUGGGAUAACACUGACGCUCAUGCACGAAAGCGUGGGGAGCAAACAGGAUUAGAUACCCUGGUAGUCCACGCCCUAAACGAUGUCUACUAGUUGUCGGGUCUUAAUUGACUUGGUAACGCAGCUAACGCGUGAAGUAGACCGCCUGGGGAGUACGGUCGCAAGAUUAAAACUCAAAGGAAUUGACGGGGACCCGCACAAGCGGUGGAUGAUGUGGAUUAAUUCGAUGCAACGCGAAAAACCUUACCUACCCUUGACAUGUACGGAACCCUGCCGAAAGGUGGGGGUGCUCGAAAGAGAGCCGUAACACAGG
rnacentral:rRNA from 1 species